rnacentral:lncRNA from 1 species
GCCUGGUUGCUAUCUUCAGGUUGGUACAAAUAUUGGUUUUCUUGGAAUGUGGAGCAUGAGUUUUAAAAUUGGAGAGGUUUUUUAAAAAUAUACGAAUGUUACAGGAAAGCUGCUUUCAGAUUGCUGUUUAGAAGAGCCAUUGUUUAUUCCUCAGAUCAGCAUAGUUUACAGACCAAGAUAGAACCUCUAUCUACAAUAUAGGUUACAAUACAGGCACACUAAUGGUUUUAUGAGCAGCAUUUACACAAAAGUGGAGCAAUCUCUGAAGAAACAAGAAGUUCAAAUGGCACCAGUUCUAAACACAAACCAAGUUCAUGGAGAAACCUUUCUCCCAUUAUCAUUCUCUGUAGCAAAGUGCAACUCCAUUAAAAACUUUUUAAAGAAAAAUAAAAGAAGACCAGCAUAUCUUCGAACACCUACAAUCUUUAACAAAAUUAGAAAUGAGAAAGAUAAGAGAAAUGAUCUCCAAAAGUCAGGCAUAUAUAAAAUACC